AGAGGACAAGCAGCCCAGGUCAACCUAGAGGAGGCUCAGGAAGACUGAAAUGCUUUGUUGCUUCAGCCUAGGGAGACUGGUGUGUGACUAAUAACCACUAGACCAGGAGUUGGCAAACUGCGGGUCGCCAGCCACAUGCUUCUUUUUGGUCCAGUAGUGGAGGACAU